GUGCUCGCUUCAGCAGCACACAUACUAAAAUUGGAACAAUACAGAGAAGUUAGCAUGGCCCCUGUGCAGGGAUGACAUGCAAAUUUGUGAAGCAUUCUAUAUUAAA
rnacentral:snRNA from 1 species